CUGGGUGGUCAAAGUGGUCCCCCAGCCGCCUGAGCCUCCGCCCAAAACAGCCGAAGACCAGAAGGAGAAGAAACCCGCCGCUGCCCCGCCUCCCGCCGUUGCCCCGCCUCCCGCCGCUGCCCCGCCUCCCGCUGCUGCCUCGCCUGCUGCUGUGACCGCACCGCGUGUUCAGGAGAAGAAGGUGACGUUUCAGGAUGAGUGUAAAAAUGAGGCUCCAAAAACGGACAAACCCAAACAGGAGGUCCAGGCAGCAGAGGAGAACGGGUGAG